rnacentral:rRNA from 1 species
AUUGAACGCUGGCGGCAGGCUUAACACAUGCAAGUCGAGCGGAAACGAUGGGAGCUUGCUCCUAGGCGUCGAGCGGCGGACGGGUGAGUAACACUUAGGAAUCUACCUAGUAGUGGGGGAUAGCUCGGGGAAACUCGAAUUAAUACAGCAUACGACCUACGGGAGAAAGGGGGCAGUUUACUGCUCUCGCUAUUAGAUGAGCCUAAGUCGGAUUAGCUAGAUGGUGGGGUAAAGGCCUACCAUGGCGACGAUCUGUAGCUGGUCUGAGAGGAUGAUCAGCCACACCGGGACUGAGACACGGCCCGGACUCCUACGGGGAGGCAGCAGUGGGGAAUAUUGGACAAUGGGGGGAACCCUGAUCCAGCCAUGCCGCGUGUGUGAAGAAGGCCUUUUGGUUGUAAAGCACUUUAAGCAGUGAAGAAGACCUAACGGUUAAUACCCGUUAGCGAUGACAUUAGCUGCAGAAUAAGCACCGGCUAACUCUGUGCCAGCAGCCGCGGUAAUACAGAGGGUGCAAGCGUUAAUCGGAAUUACUGGGCGUAAAGCGAGCGUAGGUGGCUUGAUAAGUCAGAUGUGAAAUCCCCGGGCUUAACCUGGGAACUGCAUCUGAUACUGUUAAGCUAGAGUAGGUGAGAGGGAAGUAGAAUUCCAGGUGUAGCGGUGAAAUGCGUAGAGAUCUGGAGGAAUACCGAUGGCGAAGGCAGCUUCCUGGCAUCAUACUGACACUGAGGCUCGAAAGCGUGGGUAGCAAACAGGAUUAGAUACCCUGGUAGUCCACGCCGUAAACGAUGUCUACUAGUCGUUGGGUCCCUUGAGGACUUAGUGACGCAGCUAACGCAAUAAGUAGACCGCCUGGGGAGUACUGCCGCAAGGUUAAAACUCAAAUGAAUUGACGGGGGCCCGCACAAG